rnacentral:rRNA from 1 species
GACGAACGCUGGCGGCGUGCCUAAUACAUGCAAGUCGAACGCAGUGGGGACGGGUGAGUAACACGUGGGUAACCUCCCAUAAGAGGGGAGAACACUUGGAAACAGGUGCUAAACCGAUACGGAUGGAGGGACCCGGGGUGCAUUAGCUAGGUGGUGGGGUAACGGCUCACCAAGGCCACGAUGCCUAGCCGACCUGAGAGGAUGAUCGGCCACACUGGGACUGAGACACGGUCCAGACUCCUACGGGAGGCAGCAGUGGGGAAUAUUGCACAAUGGGCGAAAGCCUGAUCCAGCCAUGCCGCGUGUAUGAAGAAGGCCUUCGGGUUGUAAAGCACUUUCAGCUGGGAGGCGUUACCAGCAGAAUAAGCACCGGCUAACUUCGUGCCAGCCGCCGCGGUAAUAC